CAGUGCCCACUUUGUUCAUCUCUGCUCACUGGGGGAGCCAGGACACGGAUCCAGGUUUUCUGACUCCAGGUCUCAGGCUUGCUCCAUAGCGCCACCUGCUGGUGACGGCAAUCGGUAGGCACCCAAAUCAAGACUCAGAUUUCCUCAUCUCAGAAGUUGUCCACUUCUUCUCCGACCUCCACGGUAACUCGGAACCACACCGUGGAGUUAUCCCUGUGUCCUCUUUCUCGGAAGUUCCACAUCCAACCCCUCAGCAGGUCUCAGCGGCACUCUCACCACCUCCUCUGCUCUGUUCCUGUUUCUCUUGGAUGGUCGAAUGUUUCCUAAGGAGUGUCUGCUGCUUCACGCUUGCCCCCUGGAGUGGCAUCUAAAAGGUGCAGGAUACCCUACAACUAACAGGCAUGAUGCCAUCAAGACAUCUUGAGCCUGGCUACCUCCCGUGGCCUGUAUUUUGUCCACAGGAAACUCGCGCAGUCUCACUACAGCAAAUUGAGGUGGUAUGGGGUGCCUGCUGCUGCCUCUCUCUUCACCUUUCCACAGAGGGCUGCCCCAGCCUGACUCCCACUUCCAGAGUUUCUCCAGCCAGGAGAAUCCUGAAAUCUCUGUAAAUAAGCAAUCCAGGAGCCAGAGAAUCAUGGGAUCUCAUAUAAACAAAUCAUCAAGGAAAAACACAGCCAGAGUCUCCAUUUGGUAAACCUCCGUGACUGGGGAUCCCCGGCCACCCAGAAAGCAGUAUUGCCUGCCAUGCAUGUCAUCACUGAUUUUUACUGCUGCAGCAGACUCCGUCAGACCUGCCUGCUGCUUCAGCGAAUUGUUCAGUGCACACCACCAGCUACCUGCUGUAAGCAUUCACACUCCUCUACCUGCCUGGCAGCAUUUCUCAGCUGAACACAGGCCAGGCCAGAAGUGCCAGGGAUUUAAUGCCCUUAGAAGUAGCUCUCUACCAAUGACAAAUGGAGCUGGUGGAUACAUUCUCAGCUUCCUCCCCUCUCAGGUGGAACAGCCCUGAGAUGUGCUCUAUGCAAUCUCCCACAAGUCCCCAGCAGGCUCAAGCUCCCAUUGUCCAACCCUGGUAACCUGCUCAUUGACACCCCUGUCUUGCCUUCCCUUCCUGGCCUCACUUUCUCACUCUCUUACUGUUGCCUCCUGAGAUCGCAUCCAAAAUAAAUGACCUGCACCCA
rnacentral:lncRNA from 10 species